AAGAUAUUAAGUUAAAAUUAAACUAUUAAUUUUCAAAAUUAAAAAUUUUAUUUCUUA
rnacentral:tRNA from 1 species